AAGCACGCCAAGAAAUAAACAAACACAAACCGGAUAAAAGAGCCAAAAGGGAGGAAGGAAAGAAGGAAAAGGGAGUGAGGUCGACAGAUACUUUGUUUUGAUUCUUUGAUUCU
rnacentral:ribozyme from 1 species